rnacentral:rRNA from 1 species
GAUGAACGCUGGCGGCGUGCCUAAUACAUGCAAGUCGAGCGAACAGACGAGGAGCUUGCUCCUCUGACGUUAGCGGCGGACGGGUGAGUAACACGUGGAUAACCUACCUAUAAGACUGGGAUAACUUCGGGAAACCGGAGCUAAUACCGGAUAAUAUAUUGAACCGCAUGGUUCAAUAGUGAAAGACGGUUUUGCUGUCACUUAUAGAUGGAUCCGCGCCGCAUUAGCUAGUUGGUAAGGUAACGGCUUACCAAGGCAACGAUGCGUAGCCGACCUGAGAGGGUGAUCGGCCACACUGGAACGGAGACACGGUCCAGACUCCUACGGGAGGCAGCAGUAGGGAAUCUUCCGCAAUGGGCGAAAGCCUGACGGAGCAACGCCGCGUGAGUGAUGAAGGUCUUCGGAUCGUAAAACUCUGUUAUUAGGGAAGAACAAAUGUGUAAGUAACUAUGAACGUCUUGACGGUACCUAAUCAGAAAGCCACGGCUAACUACGUG